AGUGAACGCUGGCGGUAGGCCUAGCACAUGCAAGUCGAACGGCAGCACAGUAAGAGCUUGCUCUUACGGGUGGCGAGUGGCGGACGGGUGAGGAAUACAUCGGAAUCUACUUUUUCGUGGGGGAUAACGUAGGGAAACUUACGCUAAUACCGCAUACGACCUACGGGUGAAAGCAGGGGAUCUUCGGACCUUGCGCGAUUGAAUGAGCCGAUGUCGGAUUAGCUAGUUGGCGGGGUAAAGGCCCACCAAGGCGACGAUCCGUAGCUGGUCUGAGAGGAUGAUCCGCCACACUGGAACUGAGACACGGUCCAGACUCCUACGGGAGGCAGCAGUGGGGAAUAUUGGACAAUGGGCGCAAGCCUGAUCCAGCCAUACCGCGUGGGUGAAGAAGGCCUUCGGGUUGUAAAGCCCUUUUGUUGGGAAAGAAAAGCAGCAGGUUAAUACCCCGCUGUUCUGACGGUACCCAAAGAAUAAGCACCGGCUAACUUCGUG
rnacentral:rRNA from 1 species